rnacentral:rRNA from 1 species
GAUGAACGCUGGCGGCGUGCCUAAUACAUGCCAGUCGAGCGAACAGACGAGGAGCUUGCUCCUCUGACGUUAGCGGCGGACGGGUGAGUAACACGUGGAUAACCUACCUAUAAGACUGGGAUAACUUCGGGAAACCGGAGCUAAUACCGGAUAAUAUAUUGAACCGCAUGGUUCAAUAGUGAAAGACGGUUUUGCUGUCACUUAUAGAUGGAUCCGCGCCGCAUUAGCUAGUUGGUAAGGUAACGGCUUACCAAGGCAACGAUGCGUAGCCGACCUGAGAGGGUGAUCGGCCACACUGGAACUGAGACACGGUCCAGACUCCUACGGGAGGCAGCAGUAGGGAAUCUUCCGCAAUGGGCGAAAGCCUGACGGAGCAACGCCGCGUGAGUGAUGAAGGUCUUCGGAUCGUAAAACUCUGUUAUUAGGGAAGAACAAAUGUGUAAGUAACUAUGCACGUCUUGACGGUACCUAAUCAGAAAGCCACGGCUAACUACGUGC